AUAAGUUCUUGGUGAUAACUAGAAACCCAAAUUCCAUUCCUAGUCGAUAAAAGGGGCCUGGAUUGCUGUGAGCAAGACAGCAGAGCAUGGAAAGGGCGAACAAGAGACGAGCGAGCUUUAGAGACUGACAUUGUGAUGAAUUUUCUCUCCCAGCUCUGAGAAGUUUAUCCGGUGGUCGCUCUCCUCCAGGGGUGCAGCUCCCUGCCCUCCAGUGGUGUCGUGAAAGAAUGUCAUUCACCCUCCCGUCAACCCUGAGAACAAGAGGCCAUUUCUCAGCGGGUGAAUCAAGCUACCAUGAGUGCCAAGGUGUCAGAGGGACUCAACUUGUCCCUUGCCAGUCACAUGAUCCUUGGCUGAGGCCUCCCCUUUGGAAAGCAGGACAAUGUCGCAUCUGCAUCUCACUCACGGACCCCAGGUGCCAGCUGAGGGUCAGGCGGCAAGGUCACGGCGUUGACAAUAAUCACCAUCCAGUGACAGACAGCCGUGUCUGGCUCGGUGCUAAGCCCUCACACGUGUGAACUCUCUUCAUCUUUGCACCAGCUUGGUGACGAAGGUAUAUUUUAUGCCCACCUCCAAGCCUGUUUCAUAAAUAAAGAUUCAGAGGCUUCGAGAAGGGGAGAGGUGCCCCGAUCGCACCCUAGAAGGAGGCAGGCGGGAGGACCUUCUCCGCGGAACUCAGGUUGGACUCAGACUCACAGAGAUGCCUCAGCUGCCACCUGCCCCCCGCUUGAGCAGAACUUUCGUUCUAGAGAACUUGCUGGCUUCGUAGUAAUCCCUUCCUUUCUGGCUCCUGGGAUCUUGUUCACUGUCUGGUCCUCUUCAAGCCCUGGAACACAGUAGGUGUUCAACAAAUAUUUGCAGAAAGAAUAGUUCUCAUUCAUGUCGCUGUUUGAUCUUCCCCCACAGCCCUGUGAGGGAGCGAAUUAGGAAAUGUGAUUGCUGCCGGUGUUAGUCAUCUCGCUAGCGGGAGGGAUGGAGCGACUUCCUCCUGGUCACACAGCCCAGCCACUGAGCUGGAGCUCCGGGCUCCUGGCUCCCUUCCCAGGCCUUUCCAACCCUGUCAAGACCUGGGCCCCUGCUGUUACAGGACAAAGAUAUUAAUUGGGAGGAGGAAUCCUUUGAGUCAUUACCAGCAAUAAUAAUAAUAAUUACAGUCAUACUCAUUGUAAUCUCUAACUCAUAGAAGCCUCGUAUCAAUAGCACCAAUGAGGCACUGUUAUUAUCCCGGUUUUAUAGUUAGUCCCAGAGAGAUUCAGCACUGCCUCAGCAUCACACAGCUAAGAAGUGGUGGAGCUGGGACUCAGACUCCAUCUGGCUCCAGAGCUCGUAGACCACAUACUCCUAACAUUUUAGAACAAAUUAGCUUCCUCAGCUGAACCCAGCAAGGCUCACAGCACAGCCAGGCUGAGCUUGGGUGAGGGAUGGGGCUGAAUGAAAUGUCCACCCGUUCCCUCCUUCCAUUCAUUCUGACAGUUGGCGAGCCUUCCCUGAGCUCCACCUGCGUGCUCAGCCAAGUGUCUGGCCCCAGGAUGUGGCCCAAAUGGGAAAGGGCUCUCCCUGUCCCAUGCAGCCAUGGGCCUGGCAGGAGAGGCGGAUGUCAUAAUUAUGUGGUUAAUUGUUUCAUUAGAGCAAAGAUGAGACCACCAUGGAGGUUAGGGCUCUGCCAGCCUCUAAUGGGCACGGACCAGGGUUGGGAGCUGGGGAGGCUGCCCCAGGGGGCUGACAGCUCAGCUCAAAGCUGAAGGGUGGGUCUGGGUCAGGUGAGCGGAGUGGGACAGCAUUCCAGGCAGAGGGCACAGCCUGGGCGGCAGCUUGGCUCUGACUAGGACGGAAAGACAGCAGGUGAGGCUGGUGCUGGCAAGGGAGGAGGAAAGGAGUUGAGGGGGAGGGGGGUGCCAGGGACGUGGGCCAGCACCCACCCGCCCAGCGCUUGAGUCCUCCCAUUCAGAAUGAGAGCUCCUAUAAUCGUCCUUAGUUUUGCUCUUAUCCUGAGAGAGCCAGGGGGAAGGGAACGUUCAAAAUUCCCAUUCCUCCCCAGCUAGCUGGGUGUGGAUGGUCCUCCAAUGAGCACUUACUCCACCACGCCAUGCAUUUAUGCAGCUGUUUGCACUCGAUGACGUGCUCGCUGUCCUGUUCGACCCCGACAGCCCCCUGGAGGGAGGAAAGGAGCACAGGUGUCAGGCCCCUGUACAGCAGAGGAAACUAAGGCAGGAGGAGGUGGUUCGCCACCCCAGCAUCCCGCCCCCAGCACACAGUCUGAUGUCCAGGCCUUCCUUUCACGGUUGCCUUUUCUCCUCUGUAAGAUGCACUUAUCAGCACCUGAGUCUCUAGGUUGCUGGGGGUUACAUGACAUAAUCCAGGUAACGAGCUGAGCGGUGGAGGUUCAAGGUCAGUGUCCGGGAAACAGUGGCUGCCAUCAUCAUAACCGUGAUCAUCACUCUUAGGGUUCCUGCACUCGACUUCUUCCUGAGCACCUGCUCUGCUGUGUGCCGGGCUCCAUGCCAGGCGCUGGGAGGCGGGGAGGUGUGGGAUGUGUCCCCUGUUCCUAAGGAACUUACGGUCUAGCGGGGGAGGCAGUUAAUCAGCAACCUGAGGCCAAGAAGGAGCCGGGCUCAGGGCAGGCAUGGCCAGGAAGCCCAGAGGAGAUGGAAUUUGAGCUGCACUGUGACAGCAUCUUGGACCUUGGAAAUGGGAGAGUGGGUGAGGACUCCGGGGACACCUCCAACAGAUAGUGGUGGAUGUCCCCGGGGCUGGAGCGGACAAAGGUGAGGCUGGUGAGUUCGUGAGAGUCACACCCGAAGGGAAUGAAUUGCUGCUCCGUGUCCCAUGGUGAGUGGGUGUGCACAGGGCAUCAGGUGUAAGACCCACUGCCUGGACCACCACGGUCAACGCAGCACUGACAGACGCAAGGCUCAUGGUUUCAAUGAAGCGUUCCACCAAGUGGAGCAGAUCCUUCUCGACAAUAGCAUUUAUUUGGAAUUCUUUUCUAAUUAUACAAGGAAAUUAUGCACAGUGCAGAAAAGAUGGGACGCAAACACAUACACAGCAGGGGAAAAGUGUCAAAGUCAUUUGUGGCUCAGCACGUGGAUAGCCAUCCUUCCCGUCCUUUUAUUCUCUGAAGGGGCCGAUUCCAAUGCUGCGAGAGGAAGCACAGGAGGUGACAGGCCAGAGGAGGUCCAGGACAGCUUUGGGGAGAAGGUGACAUUCAGACUCACCCUUAUAGGAGGGGCAGGGUUUGGAAAGAUCACAGAAAAGAAGAGGGACAACAUGGCUAAGGCACACGGACUGGGGAGAUGGAUAAAGAGCGUCAGCCUCUCGCGUGCACAUCGAGUGUCACCUCGUCUGCUCGUCCCAACACUCCCUGGGGUGGAGACAAGAGCACCCUCAUGGCCAGGGUCCUAGACCCAGGGCCGUGAAGGGGGGAUGCCAGGAAUGGGGGCGGGUUACUGGGGACUGAACCCCACUGAGCUCUGUUGGCCACUCCGGGCCCCUAUCCUUGUGAGGAAGUGGAAGAGCUUAAGGAGCUGGGGCCAUACCAGCCACUGAAGGAAGUGGCAUGAGGGGAACUUCCAUCCGUCUGUCCCCUGCUGCAGCGGCUUUAUCGGGGCCCUGCAGAUCUCUACAAUCGCUGCUGCCCAUCUGAAGCCGGGCUUCUGGGAACAGGGGCCUGCCACCCUCGAGGAGAUAAGGCAGCCCUGGUCAUGUGGCUCGAACUGUUGGUGACCAAGCAGAAGCUGCAGCAAGGCCGAUGGCCGGCUGGAGGGGAGGCCAUGCCAGCUUCUGACCACCUCCCCAGGAAAACAGCAAUAGGAAUGGUAUUUAAAACCCUCCCAGGUAUACCAUGCCUUUUGGUUCACAAAGUGCUUUUACCCCCAUUCUCAGUGCAAAAAGGCAAGGUGGGCCUCAGAGCAGGCCUGGGGUCUAGUCCUCAGGCUACCACUUGCUGGCUCUGUGACCGUGGGCAGCUGACAUCACCUCUCUGAGCCUCAGUUUCCUCAUUCGUCCAAUAAGAGCAGUAACACUCUCUCCUUUUCCGAUCUCCGUGUCUAGCCAGCCUGUUGCCACCUUCCUCCUGGCCCUGUUCCCUGCAGUGGGUACCACCUUCGUCUGCACGCCAGACCCCAGACAUUUGCCAGGCUGGGAGUUGAGUCAGACCUCGUCCACCAACUUGCUGCUGGAGUGGACGGGCCUAGACAGCCAGAGGAUUCUUGUCCUGACUCCCAUCCGGCAGCCAGCACUUGCCAGGCCCAGCCAGGGCUGGAUGAGAGGGAGGGCGGAGAGGAGGGGAGCCCCGAUGGGAAGGCUCCGAUUUUGCCGGCGAAGGCUUUUGUGCUCCGGAAUGCCAGACCAGUGCAGUCGGCUCUGCCAAUGAGGAGACUGGCCUCCAACAAUAAUGUUUUUCCCUGGGUUUUCCAGAAGGCAUCAGCUGCUUUCUAAUUCAAACCAUCAGGAGGAAGCUUACAUGUGCUGAGUCGCAAAACGCCUGUAGAAAUAAAACUGCUCCCCAUGCCAGACAAGAGCUGGGCUGGACAGGGCUCUGGCCAAGGGGCCCCUGAGCCAGAGGCUGUGAGCUCCUCCCAGGGCCCCCUCCAGGCCUGCCCAGGCCCUCAGCUGGCGCCCUUCCCGGGGCACACUUGCCAUCAGUUACUCCACCCACACCCACGAGGGCCUACGGUGUGCCAGAAACUGUGCAAGGUUUUUGGAGUGAGCACUGUAGCUGUUAUUAUAGUUCACAUUUAUUGAGCAUGUGUUGUAUGCCAGCAACUAUGCUAAACACCUUACAUUCACUGUCUCUCAUCCACGUGCUGUGGUUCCAUUCCACAGAAGAGAAUGAUGAGGCUCAGCGAGGCAGAAAGACCCAACAGAAGUGAAGAGUUGGGCUUCCAGCCCUGGGUCUGUCUUCAGGGCUCCGUCACCACGCCUUGCUGCCUGGCAAUGAAAAGGUGUGAAGCUCCCCACUCCACACCUGCUCGGGUGGCUAGAAUCAAAGGCAAGUGAUAACAAGGGUUGGAGAGGAUGCGGAGAAAUGAGAACACUCAUCCGCUGCGAUGGGAGUGUCAAAUGGUGCAGCUACUUUGGAAAACAGUCAGUUCCUCAAACAAUUAAUCAUAGAAUUACCACACGACCCAGUGAUGCCUCUCCUAGGUGUAUACCCAAGGGAAAUGAAAACAUACGUCCACACAAAAACUUGUACUGGAAUGUUCAUAGCAGCGUUAUUCAUAAUAACCAAAAGGUGGAGACAACCCAAAGGGGCAAACAACAGUGGUCUAUCUGUAUGAUGGAAUAUUAUUCAGCCAUUAAAAGAAGAAUGAAGUCUGAUACCUACCACAACAUAGAUGAACCUUGAAAAUGUUAUUCUAAGUGAAAGAAGCCAGUCACAAAAGUCCGCAUAUUCUUUGAUCUCAUUCAUAGAAAUGUCUGGAAUGGGGAAAUCCAUAGAAACGGAAAGGAGAUUAGUGCUCAGGGUUGAGGGUGGCCAAGAGCCAACGAGUAAGGGGUUUCUAUUUUUUUUCUUUUCUUCCCCAAAGCCCCAGUACGUAGUUGUGUAUUCUUGUUGUAAGUCCUUCUAGUUCUUGUAUGUGAGCUGCCACCACAGCAUGGCUGCUGACAGACAAGUGGUGUGGUUCCGCACCCAGGAACCAAACUUUGGCCACUGAAGUGGAGAGCGCUGAACUGUAACCACUGGGCAAUCAGGCCUGGCUCUGGGGUUUCUUUUUGAGGUGAUGAAAAUGUUCUAAAAUCAACUGUGUGAUGGUUGUACAUACCUGUGAAUACACUAAAAAUCGUUUAAAUGGCUGAAUUGUAUGGUGCGUGAAUUCUCUCUCAAUAAAGCUGUUUAAAA
ensembl:lncRNA